UUUCCUGUUGAUCAGUUGGUAGAGCAUUGCUCAAGCAACGCAAAAAUCGCAGUGGGUUCAAAUCCCCAGGAAAG